GGGGACUGGACGGCAGGACCAAGCACCACCUAAAUCAUCCCAGAUAGAUACUUAAAAGAGAAGGCCCCUACCCACUAUUCAAAUGCUGAGGCCUGGAAGCCUGUGGGUACUGGACCAGGCUGGCAGGAAGUGGCACAAACACCCAGUGGAAAGACCCUGUCCCAUGAUUGCUUUUUGUUACAGGGUCUUUGCCAUCUGCCUUCAUGAACUGAAGUGCUGGAACUCCUGAUUUCGUGCAGCAAGAAAAAGGUGGCCUAGCAAGCAGCAGUAAUAUUCAAUUAAAACAGAUGGGAAAUCUACUAGAACUGGAAAAAUCACAAAACAUAGUAAUUGCACAGCUGCAGUUCUUAUCAAGCCACUGAUUCUUUCUAGUGUUUUUACUUAACAGGAUUCCUCAUAAUCUGACACAGCCCAGAGAACAGUUUGAGGAGUCCAUAUACACUGAGGCAAACCAUGAGGCAGUAAUUUCUUAAAAUCAACCAGAAUCCAUGUUAUGAUAUACAGAGUGGUCACACCAGA